rnacentral:sRNA from 1 species
CCCCUUCACCACCCCACCGGUGAAGCAACUCGGGCGGCGACCUUUUCGGGGGAGGGCCGCCCGCCCUUAC